rnacentral:rRNA from 1 species
CACCCCCAUAUUUUUAGAGUUUGGAUCCGGCUCAGGACGAACGCUGGCGGCGUGCCUAACACAUGCAAGUCGAACGGGACCAGGGGCAACUCUGGUUCAGUGGCGGACGGGUGCGUAACACGUGAGGAACAUGACUUUCGGUGGGGGAUAGCCGGCCCAACGGCCGGGUAAUACCGCGUACGACCUUUUGGGGACAUCUCCGAUUGGUGAAAGCAGCAAUGCGCCGAAAGAGUGCCUCGCGGCCUAUCAGCUAGUUGGUGGGGUAACGGCUCACCAAGGCGACGACGGGUAGCUGGUCUGAGAGGAUGGCCAGCCACAUUGGGACUGAGACACGGCCCAGACUCCUACGGGAGGCAGCAGUGGGGAAUAUUGCGCAAUGGGCGAAAGCCUGACGCAGCGACGCCGCGUGUGGGAUGACGGCCUUCGGGUUGUAAACCACUGUCGGGAGGGACGAAUGCGCCGCAAGGUCGUAGUGACGGUUCCUCCAAAGGAAGCACCGGCUACCAGUGCAGCGUUCUCC